rnacentral:lncRNA from 1 species
CUGUACCUUGCACCUAGCCCUCUUGAGCUAGAUGACGAUCUUGGCUUCCUCAAGAUGGACCACCUUUCUUCAUUGCGUUGGUUUUAUGAAGACUAAUUGAUUGCUCCCCCAUACGCAUUAUGUGUGAGCCAGUCUUCAGCACAUCUUCACAAGUCCAUUGCCACCACAAUGGACGGCAAGCUUCAAGCAUGAUAUCUUCGUGAUGCUCCACUUGAACUUGCACACCACAAUCUUGAUGACGAUUAACACUUGAUGUCAUCCUUCAUAGGUUGAAUGAGAUCUCCCUCUUGAUGCAAACCCAUGGAAACACACCUAACCCCACAUACAACUUUCACGAAGACCAUGGGUUAGUACACAAAAGCGUUGUGGACAAUGCUUAUCAUACCAUGGGAUCACUUGAUCCCUCUCGGUACAUCUUGUACACUUUGUGUGUUGAUCAUCUUGAUUUACUCUUUGCUCAGUCUUGAUCAACCUUGUGUCUUUAUAGCCAAUCUUUGGAUAAUACUUUGAAUACCACCUUGGUUUCGGCCAGGCCGACUGGAUCAAGUGGCUUUGGCUAGACCGACGACAAUAUUUUUUUUAAACCUGCACAAUAUUUUUCAGUUUUAAUAAAAAAAUAUACUAUUUAGAAAAAAAUAGCCUAAAGAAGGACACUGUAAAACUUGAAAAUCUGAAAGAUUCUAGUCUAGUGAAAAAUAAUCAACAAAGGAAUAUUCUAGUGGUAAAUAAGGACGGAAUCUAUUCAUUAAAAUGGGAUGGGAAUGAUUCACCAUUAUUUUCGUGGCAUCAAGAAAAAUAACUAGCACAUCAUCGCGAUCCCCGAGUAUAUUUGUUUCUGUUUCAAGUUCAGAUGUCAAUGUGAUCUAAGGUAGGACGUCGGGGGGAGGAAUGUCCACAUUGAUCCGACGACAAGAAUAUCCACCCAAGAAAGUAAACCUUGUUAAAAUGGAUAUCAGUUGCCUUCAACCUUUUGCCUUUGCAUAAUUUUGACUAAUUCGCCAGCGAUCACUCCAGAGAUUGUGCAACGGUUGCCAUGUACGUACGCAAGUAACAAUAAUCACAAUCACAAGAGCAAUUAACGCCCUUCUCAUCACCCAAUUAACAACGCAAUCUCGGUUUAACCAUGCUAAUGGUUGCGGGUCCGAC